UAGAGUUCAUUUGAUUUUGAAAAAUAAUUUUAACUUCCGAUGUCCCUGGUAGUCACACAGAUACAGGAGUGAGUAUUUAGUCACAUCCUUUGCUGCAGAUGGAAGUGACAAUCCUGGGAACUUGGCUCCUACUACUUACAACUCUGCAGUAUCCAAGCAGUUUCAGAACUUCAUGCAUGAGAAAACAGAAUAGAAUGAAAAUUAUUGAUGUAAAUUACAAGAAGGUAUUACAGCAUUUUGUGGCCCGUGGCUCGCCAUUCGCUGAAGUGAAAGUCAUACCACUUGUCAGCUUUUCAACUCUGGCACGUCAACUAGGUGUUCAUACAGAACAGUCUAUAUACCGUGUCAUGCCAAACUUACAUGUGACCUGCUGUCUUUUGCUUCUGAGAGAGGUACAUCACCUGCCGUGACAUGCUGCAACCCAUAUUAGAAAGUGUUGUAAUAAUAACUAUGGGCCAGAGAUAUUGAACUAAUGGGUACAGCUGUGUAUAUUUUGUGACUGAGAAUUUGGCUAAAAUCUUCUUUCACACAGACAUGUAUAGCUCUGUCCUUUACUGGUUUUAACAUCAUUUAUUGUGAUUGUGGUAUUAGCGCUGCUUGUAAUGGGGAGUUCUUGCCAUUUAAUAUUUCAGGUCGAACUUUAUUUGCAAGUUUUAUCAGAUGGUCAUUAUAUGUAUAUACACCAAGAAAUCUGGAAGGGCACAUUUAAUCUGAGAUGGUAAACUCUCAAAAGCCAAGAAAUUAAGAGCUAAAAUAGCUGAAGAAAGCUAUUUACCUGUAGACAUUUUCUUCCAGUCUUUGAUAACAUGAUCCCAAUUCAGUUAAUAUUCAUUAGGACUGAGAUUUUCAAAGGGCCUAAGGGAGUUAGGUGCUCAGUCCCCACUGAAUUUCUAUAGGAUCUGGGUACCUGAUUCACUUAGGCUCCUUUGAAAAUCCCAACCUUAUUAAUACUUGUUUCAGUAUACUUUGUGAAUCAGACCACACUUCAUAUCCAAAGCCAGGUUUUGCUUUUCCCCCCAUUUAUUUUUAGGGAAAAAAAAGUUCCUGGUGAAGCCAAUUUGUGAAUAUUUCUCAGCUUAAUUUCUGCAACUCCUUUUUCUAAACAGAGGCUAUCCCUGCAAAGGUCCAGUCCUGCCCUCCUUUCUCAUAUGCAUCUUCCAUUUAAGCCAGUGACUCUAGGAUUGGCUGUUCUAGCUUCAUGCAAGAAGGAAACGUUUUACUUGGCCGAGCACCCUUAAUACACCUUGGAUGUAGUCCGUGUUAGAGUUUCAAUCGUUUACUAGAUUGUAUUGAGAAAACAAACUAGGUGUUGGUAAAUAUGUGUCUUCUAAUACCUAGACGUGAAUCAAAAUUUCUCUACUUUUUUGCUAAUACUUUGUAAGGUGAAUGUUGAUUUAUGAGGUACUUUCUUUAAGCCAAGUUUUUGAAGGAAAGAUCUCUUAUUGAGCAAAUUCUAGAGCAGUUGCAUAAGGGAUCUUUCUUCUUCCUUCUUUCACAGCUUUUCCAUCCAUUUGGAGAUAAGCUAUUUUAUUUUUUAAACCACUGAUUUAUCCAGCAUCAUGCCUAUUCUACUCUAAGGUUUUUCAUUUUGUAAAUUACACAGGUGUUAGAUUCACACAGUUCUCAAGGUGUCUCUUCCUAAUAUGUAUACCAACUCUCAAGGUGUCAAAUACAAGUCAUAUUUAUUCCUGUGAUUCUCACUAGCUCUGUUGCGGGAGGGGAGUUUUCUCUGGCAAGAAAUGUAAACUGUAUAUCAUUUCACAACUAGACUUUCAUGGGGGGAAAGUGGUCAGAAUACUUGUUUAAUUUUAGUUAUGAUUUGAGCAGUAUAUUCUUCAUUGUAAGACUGAGAGGUUUGCCAACUUCAGUGAAAUCCUUCAGAAGUUAGGAUUCAGGCAUAUUAGGUGGGGAGAGCCUCCAUAAUAUGCCUGUCUUCAUUUUUGCUGAUAUGAAACAAACAGGCCCGUGGUUUAAAUGUGGUGUGCUGGGAAAUAGGUUACAUAUAAUAUCUCUAAGGACAGGAUUGUCAGGGCCUGCUUUUCUCAUGCAAAAUGGUUUUAAAAAAGUUUCACUCUGUCCCAAGUGGUCUUGCUGCUUGAGUGCUUUUCCCAGGCUCCAGAUCAAUCUUUAACUCCCUACUUUUCAAACAUGACAAAAUAUUAGGAUAACAGACAGAAAAUACUAGCUUCACAAGGGCUAAGCAGAGUGGUCUCGAAUUCCUGCAGGCUUCAGAGUAGUUCUCUUUUCCCAGUUCUCUAAACUCCUAAUCAGGGCUAACUAUUCCCAGUUACUGUGGCUCAAUAUCUAAUCUUUCAAUAAAUGAUAGGGUGGCUACAGAGCCAGACCACGAAGACAUCUUCAACUCACUGCCUGCAAUAGCAUUUCCUGGCCUUACUGAAUAUCUGGCAUAGAGCAAGGAUUAGAAGAGCUGCACUGCAGCCAAUUCUUCCCAGGAUAGCUGUGCCCUGAUUCCAACCAUCCCUUGCGGGCUGCCAUACCAAGGGCCUCUCUGAGUGGGCACCCCCGAUACCACCCACAGAUUCAGACCCCACCCUGCACAGUAGAGUUGCAGCAGUUUCACUACCAGAGAACCUGUGGCCGUGGAGAUGGGAGACUAGGUUAGUUCCAAAGGGUAAAAUUUUCAAAGGAGCCUAAGGUGCUUUUGACUUAGGCCCUGUUGAAAAUGAUCACUGAAAGGCAUAACUAUGUUCCAUAUUUAUGAUUAGGCUGUAGUCACAUAAUGCAUAGAGGGUACUAAAGUGUGUCUUAAGCUAAUGCAGUAUUCUGUAUUAAUGAUGAAUGCUAUGAGAACUUUGGUAUGAAUCAUAUCAUGAAACAAGCAAAUUAAACGACAAGCAGGCUAAGUUUUCUGAUGCGCUAUAUAACUAAUGAUUAACCCCUUUGGUAAAAGAAAGCUAGAGAAGUGAGGCAAGCAGUGGUGGUUGAGGUAUUUCUUUCAAUACGUGGUCCUGCGUGUUCCAGUAUUCAUGGAAGCAAGGUUUACUAUUUCCAGUGUAAAGGAUUUUGCUUUCUUUUCUUUUCUUCUAUUUUUUUUAUAUUUUGUGGAAAGGUCUCUUUUUAGAGUGAAUUCUGCCAACAUAUUAUAUAUAGUCCAUAUUUUUCUUCCCAGUUUUCAUUACUAGUGUCCUUUAUAUGUAAAAAAAUUUUUUUACAUCUGCUCCAGCUAGUUAUUCCUUACAUAAGGUCAUCAUGUCCUUCAUCUAGUCUAGCCUAUCUAGGUACUAGUGCUUUUAAUAUGCCAUGGAAAUUACUUUGAUGUCACAUGUUUUGUAACAAUAUUGGAGUGACUUCACCAGUAGAUGGCGCUGCUGAAAAUUGUUCCAUGGUACAAUAUGGAAAACAGAAAAGGCUUGGUCCUGUGUCUUAAAGGUGUUCUUACUCACUAAACAUCAAAACAGGCUUUUUUUCAUAGUCUGGGUUAUUUAGAUGGAUUUUGUGUUCUCCAGUUGGGUUUAUUGUUCCCUUGCUCUUUCAU